rnacentral:rRNA from 1 species
UUAAAAUCUACCUGGUUUUCAGGUCGAGUUKGUAAUUUGAAGAUACGUUUUUGACGUUCCGGGUUGAACUAAAUCCUUUGGGAUAAGGUAUCAUGGAGGGUGAGAAUCCCGUAUAUACCAACCAUAGGGAUGUUAUUUAAUACGUUUCUAAGAGUCGAGUUGUUUGGGAAUGCAGCUCUAAAUGGGUGGUAAAUUUCACCUAAUGCUAAAUAUAAGCGAGAGACCGAUAGCGAACAAGUACAGUGAUGGAAAGAUGAAAAGAACUUUGAAAAGAGAGUUAAAUAGUAUGUGAAAUUGUUGAAAGGGAAACGAUUGAAGUCAGUCAUGCCGGUGGGAAUCAACUUUGAGGAAACUCUGAGUGCACUUCUUCGCUUGGCAGGUCAACGUCGAUUUUGGAUAUCAUAAAAUGAUUGGGGGAAGGUAGCUCCUUUGGGAGUGUUAUAGCCCUUGGUAGAUGUGAUGUCUGGGAUCGAGGAUUGCAAUGGAUACCCUUUGGGGCUAGCCGCCUGAUCUCUAAUUGGUAUUGGGUUACGGAUAGCAUGCUGACCGUGAUCUAAUUAUUGGU